GAGAACUUUAUGUAUGCUGACAGUAAGCUCCUAGCCUGUUUCAAACUCCUUGAAAAAUAAAACACAGAAAAGCUCCUUGAAGCAUACUUGGGAAAUAUAUAACUACUAAGUGUAAUUAGAUCCUGCCUACUUUAUUUACUCUACAGUUUUGAAGAAGAUAAAAGUACACACAUACACCCUUCAUUGUAAUGACUUAGCAUUGAACUUCUUAUUUCAUUGUGGAUUUUCUCUGUGUGAUGGGUUGUUCCACACAAGUUAGCAGUAUUUUUCGUGUAAUGAAAUGUUGGUUGAAUUGAAAUACCACUUCUAAGAAUCUUUUUCUAAUAUAGUUUGUAUUUUAUAUCAGGCUGCUGCUUCUUUUUUUAUUUUUUUCUUUUCUUUUUUUUUUUUUUUUCUGUAUUUAUGUGUAAGCAGGGGGAGUGUUGAGAGAGGGGGAGUUGGAAAAUCCCACUGGGGCUUCAUCUCACAACCACAGUAUCAAGAGCUAAGCUCUUAUCAGGAGUCAGAGGCUUAACCAACUGAGCCCCCCAAGUGCCCCAGACUUGUUUCUUUUUAUAGACAGUUUAUCUAAUAACAUCAUGAAUAUAUGUAUAUGAGUAUAUUAAUUAUUGUCUUCAGCUAAAAUCAAUGAAACAGAUACGUUUGGUCCUGGAGAUAAUGAUGAAAUCCAGUUUGAUGAUAUUGGAGAUGACGAUGAAGACAUUGAUGAUAUCUAAAUUGAACAUGGUUUCUGAGGUUUGUUCUGCAAUUUGGAUUUUGGCUAUCACCUGUUAAAAGAAGACUAAAACAUCAUUUAGUAUGAAUGUAUUUGGUUAAGACAUGCUGAUUUAUUUUCAUUGUUUAAAAGUAUUAUAUUUCUCUAAAAACUGAUUUAGCUGAAUUAUUUAAGUGAAAUUUUAUUGUUUGGAUAUAAUGGAACUUAGGGGGCAAAGACUAUAAUACCUGCUGUUAAACAGUAGAGAGAAACGAAGAAGAAAUGUCUUUUCCACUGUGACUAUUUUAUUCUAGUUAAUAGGUGUUUUGAAUAAAUUGCCUUACCAUCAUAGGUUUCGGUAAACCAUG